CCACGGGCGUGUGGAGGUGAUGCUACCGACGGAGCUGGUGAUGGGGAUGAUGCUGUGGGUGGUGGUGGAGAUGAUGACACGGGCGCUGGAGGUGAUGCUACCGACGGAGCUGGUGAUGGGGAUGAUACUGUGGGUGGUGGUGGUGAGUAUACAGGGGAUGAAGGAGAGUGUACUGGUGGUGAUGAUUGAGAUGACGCUAUGGGUGGUGGUGGUGGUGAAUUGAUUGAAGGUGGUGGUUGAGAUGAUGAUCCAGACGGUGGGGGUGGUGGUGAGUUGACUGUAGGAGGUGGAGAAGAAACCGGUGGUGGUGGUAUUACUACUUGUGGAGGUGGAGAUCGGAGCUCUGGUUGGGAUGGCGACGGAGCAAGAGGCGGGGAGGCGAAUGACUGAGGCGGUGGUGUGCUUACAGGUGGUGGUGGAGGAGAAUGCACUCGUGUCACGGGUGACUCGGAAUGCGGAGGUGGUGGUGGUCGUGAUGUUUGGGAUGACGCUACGGGUGGUGGUGGUGGUGAAUUGAUUGAAGGUGGGGGUUGAGAUGAUGAUCCAGAUGGUGGGGGUGGUGAGUACGGUGGAGGUUGUGAUGAAUGAACUGGAGGUGGUGGUGAGUUGACUGGAGGAGGUGGAGAAUAGACCGGUGGAGGUGGUGAUACUACUGGUGGAGGUGGAGAGCGGAGCUCUGGUUGGGAUGGCGACUGAGCAAGAGGCGGAGAGGCGAAUGCCUGUUGCGGUGGUGUGCUUACAGGUGGAGGAGGAGAAUGCACUCGUGUCACGGGUGACUCGGAAUGCGGAGCUGGUGGCGGUGAGUGCACCGGUGUCACUGGCGACUCGGAAUGCUGAGGUGGCGGCGGUGACUUCGCCGGUGCCCUGGGCGUUGGAGGCUUCGGUGAUGAUUUUGGAGGGGUUGCUGCCACCGGCGCAGGCGAUGGCUCCUGAGGUGGCGGUGUCACCGGGUUAGGUGAUGCCUUCGGAGAUGUUGGCGUCGCCGGCUUUGUUGAAGGUUUCGGAGACGGCGUAGCCGGCUUAGGUGAAGACUUCGGAGAUGUCGGUGUGGCCGAAGAGGGAGUGGAAGAGCUCGGAGAAGACCUACAUUUAUCUUUGCUGCAGUCCACAGGGCGACUCAACACCCGAUAACAGGUCUUCGCCGACUUCUGCCCGGGCCGCUUCUCAAGGCAAUUGCCCUUGUCGUCGAAAGCGACAUCAGACCCGGCCGAGGGCACGCACUCGGCGGCUUCGCCCUUGAAGUAGUUGAAGGAGAACGUGAAGUUGGUGAGGCUCGGCAAGCGACAGAGCUUCUCCGGUACCACUCCUGUGAGGACGUUGUGCGACAAGUCCAGGUCCUCCACCUUGCUCAACGCCGCAAAGCUCGUCGGGAGAUCGCCG
rnacentral:lncRNA from 1 species